GCCGCUCGCCCGAGUGCUUGCGCUGGUGGUAGCGCAGGAAGCACUGUUGCUGCGCACAAUCGUCUGUCUGUCAAAUUUUAACUUUCAAGCGAGGAUCAGAGGGACUAGCACGACUGUGGACAUAUGAAGAGUGGAGACAUAUUGGACUGAAGAGCUUCAAUGAUGUCGCAUAUGUAGGUUAACAUUCAUCUCAAGCGCAUACGUCACGCCGCACACUGCAAUGGCUGUCGGUAGGGUAGAGAUCAAUCUGUGUACAACCAGUAGCUCGGUAACAUGUGGUGAUGCGAGUAUAAAACAUUAAAAGCAUGAUUAUACUUAACCAAGCAGCUACUAUUAGAUCAAGUUAAGCUUUUCGCAUCAGAUUAAUAAUCAAAUUCUUCGCGCGGUUGCGGGCUAUCUUAUCUAAAGUUUUUUUUUCCAUAACGAUAACAAACUUGGAAUCCCAGAUUCAUAUAUUUCUAGAUUUAU